AGAGUUUGAUUCUGGCUCAGGACGAACGCUGGCGGCGCGCCUAACACAUGCAAGUCGAACGAGCGAGAGAGAGCUUGCUUUCUCGAGCGGAUGGCGAACGGGUGAGUAACGCGUGAGGAACCUGCCUCAAAGAGGGGGACAACAGUUGGAAACGACUGCUAAUACCGCAUAAGCCCACGGGUCGGCAUCGACCAGAGGGAAAAGGAGCAAUCCGCUUUGAGAUGGCCUCGCGUCCGAUUAGCUGGUUGGUGAGGUAAUGGGCCACCAAGGCAACGAUCGGUAGCCGGACUGAGAGGUUGAACGGCCACAUUGGGACUGAGACACGGCCCAGACUCCUACGGGAGGCAGCAGUGGGGAAUAUUGCACAAUGGGGGAAACCCUGAUGCAGCGACGCCGCGUGGAGGAAGAAGGUCUUCGGAUUGUAAACUCCUGUUGUUGAGGAAGAUAAUGACGGUACUCAACAAGGAAGUGACGGCUAACUACGUGCCAGCAGCCGCGGUAAAACGUAGGUCACAAGCGUUGUCCGGAAUUACUGGGUGUAAAGGGAGCGCAGGCGGGAAGACAAGUUGGAAGUGAAAUCCAUGGGCUCAACCCAUGAACUGCUUUCAAAACUGUUUUUCUUGAGUAGUGCAGAGGUAGGCGGAAUUCCCGGUGUAGCGGUGGAAUGCGUAGAUAUCGGGAGGAACACCAGUGGCGAAGGCGGCCUACUGGGCACCAACUGACGCUGAGGCUCGAAAGUGUGGGUAGCAAACAGGAUUAGAUACCCUGGUAGUCCACACCGUAAGCGAUGAUUACUAGGUGUUGGAGGAUUGACCCCUUCAGUGCCGCAGUUAACACAAUAAGUAAUCCACCUGGGGAGUACGACCGCAAGGUUGAAACUCAAAGGAAUUGACGGGGGCCCGCACAAGCAGUGGAGUAUGUGGUUUAAUUCGACGCAACGCGAAGAACCUUACCAAGUCUUGACAUCCCUUGACGAUGCUGGAAACAGUAUUUCUCUUCGGAGCAAGGAGACAGGUGGUGCAUGGUUGUCGUCAGCUCGUGUCGUGAGAUGUUGGGUUAAGUCCCGCAACGAGCGCAACCCUUAUGGUCAGUUACUACGCAAGAGGACUCUGGCCAGACUGCCGUUGACAAAACGGAGGAAGGUGGGGAUGACGUCAAAUCAUCAUGCCCUUUAUGACUUGGGCUACACACGUACUACAAUGGCGUUAAACAAAGAGAAGCAAGACCGCGAGGUGGAGCAAAACUCAGAAACAACGUCCCAGUUCGGACUGCAGGCUGCAACUCGCCUGCACGAAGUCGGAAUUGCUAGUAAUCGUGGAUCAGCAUGCCACGGUGAAUACGUUCCCGGGCCUUGCACUCACCGCCCGUCA
rnacentral:rRNA from 1 species